AACGAACGCUGGCGGCAUGCCUAACACAUGCAAGUCGAACGAGACCUUCGGGUCUAGUGGCGCACGGGUGCGUAACGCGUGGGAACCUGCCCUUAGGUUCGGAAUAACUCCCCGAAAGGGGUGCUAAUACCGGAUAAUGUCUUCGGACCAAAGAUUUAUCGCCUUUGGAUGGGCCCGCGUUGGAUUAGCUAGUUGGUAGGGUAAAAGCCUACCAAGGCGACGAUCCAUAGCUGGUCUGAGAGGAUAAUCAGCCACACUGGGACUGAGACACGGCCCAGACUCCUACGGGAGGCAGCAGUGGGGAAUAUUGGACAAUGGGCGAAAGCCUGAUCCAGCAAUGCCGCGUGAGUGAUGAAGGCCUUAGGGUUGUAAAGCUCUUUUACCCGGGAUGAUAAUGACAGUACCGGGAGAAUAAACUCCGGCUAACUCCGU
rnacentral:rRNA from 1 species